CUUGACGGACCCGAGGUAGAGGGGGAGGUCGGCGGCGCGGUCCUGGCCGUAGGUGGCCAGCAGGGCCUGGGCCUC
rfam:Streptomyces albus subsp. albus strain NRRL B-2513 B2513contig90.1, whole genome shotgun sequence.